UACAAUGUAAGGUUUCCAGAACAGAAAAA
rnacentral:piRNA from 1 species